UGUGGCUCCAUGGUAGAGCAUCUUUAUUUUGCAUGCAGAAGGUCCCAGGUUCAGAUUCUGGCUGGACAA